CCUACGGGAGGCAGCAGUAGGGAAUCUUCCACAAUGGACGAAAGUCUGAUGGAGCAACGCCGCGUGAGGGAAGAAGGGUUUCGGCUCGUAAAGCUCUGUUGGUAGUGAAGAAAGAUAGAGGUAGUCACUGGCCUUGAUUUGACGGUAAUUACUUAGAAAGUCACGGCUAACUACGUGCCAGCAGCCGCGGUAAUCCGUAGGUGGCAAGCGUUGUCCGGAUUUAUUGGGCGUAAAGCGGGUUCAGGCAGUUCAAUAAGUCUGAUGUGAAAGCCUUCGGCGCAACCGGAGCAUUGCAUCAGAAACUGUUGAACUUGAGUGCAGAAGAGGAGAGUGGAACUCCAUGUGUAGCGGUGGAAUGCGUAGAUAUAUGGAAGAACACCAGUGGCGAAGGCGGCUCUCUGGGCUGCAACUGACGCUGAGGCUCGAAAGCAUGGGUAGCGAACAGGAUUAGAUACCCGGGUAGUC
rnacentral:rRNA from 1 species